rnacentral:misc_RNA from 1 species
UAAUUCCAACGGCGGCGUGCAUUGUCUCCAAUGUAAGCAAAGAAAGGCAUACACAAGGUAAAGAUACUAUAUUGUGUUGCUUAUGUGGCAAAAAUAAUCAUGUUAUCUUUCAGUGUACAAAGGCAAACAGCAUGACGUUGGAGGAGAAAAUGAACAGCAUCAAAAAAUCUGGUUUUUGUUUUAUCUGUCUCAAGAAGGGUCAUUUAGCAAAUAAAUGCAAAACAUUUACAAAAUGUUUGUCUUGCCAUAAGAGACAUAAUGUAAUCCUGUGUCCCAACGUACAUAAAACAGAAAGUACCCUGUUUACUAAACAUAAUGAAACUUUUUUACAGACAUUGAUAGUAACAGUCAGCUAUAACGGGAGAAACAUGAAAGUUAGAGCGUUGUUGGACAGCGGUUCGCAAAGGUCGUACGUCAAGAGUUCGGUAGCAAAAGAAUUGAAGCUAGAGAAGGUAGGAACAGAAAACAUUAAACACACAUUGUUCGGAGGUACCACGGGACCCGCUCGAGUCUACAAUCAGAGAAAGUUAAACGUAAGUAAUAUAGAUAACUCAUUCUCUUUUCAGAUGUUAGUACUGGAGCAACCAAACUUGUGUGGGAGCCUACCUAGUAUAAAGGAUGAUGCAACUUUGUUGCAAGAAUUAAAAAGCCAUAAUAUUCAGAUCAAUGACAAGAACAUUGAAAUAGGGCUUUUGAUAGGUUCAGAUUACUUUGGGUCCAUAAUGACAAAUAAUUUGUUUUCCAUUAAUAAAAGCUUGCUAGCAGUGGAGACAAAAUUAGGAUGGACAAUACAAGGACCUACACAAAUGAAUGAUUCCACCGUGAACAAUGUCAGUGUGUCAUACGUGUCACAAUCAGAUAUUUGUAAUUUAUGGAAUAUUGAGCUGUUAGGCAUUAGAGACCCCUAUGAAAAACAGGAAAAAGAAGUGAUCAAAGCAGAAAUAUUAAAAUGUUUUAAUAAUAAUAUUUCAGUAAAUGAAGAUGGCCGCUAUGAAGUAUCUCUGUUAUGGAAGGAAGGGUGUCCAGAGCCUGACGCAAACUACGACGUAGCGCAAAAACGACUGCAGAGCACUACGAGAAAACUUAUAAAAACAGGUAACCUUCAAUCAUAUUCUGAUGUUUUUAAAACAUGGCAGAGAGAAGGUAUCAUUGAAGAAGUGAUAGUGGACAAUAAGAAUGAAGGCCACUACAUUCCUCACCACACUGUCAUAAAGCCGUCUAGCACGACCACGAUGUUACGACCCGUGUUCGAUGCGUCGGCUAAAGACUGUAAAGGUUUGUCUCUGAAUGACUGCAUAGAUAAAGGCAUUAACCUUAUUGAACUCAUACCUAAGCUGUUAAUUUUAUUUAGAAGAGGAGCUUAUGGAGCGAUUGCAGACAUAGCUAAGGCUUUCUUACAAAUCUCAGUCUCGAAGAAUGACAGAAAGUAUUUAAAAUUCUUGUGGUGGAAGGAUUUUGAAAUGCAGCAAGAAGUAGUUACUUAUCAACAUAAUAGAGUUAUGUUUGGGGUGAACUGUAGUCCCUUUCUUUUGGCUGCCACAAUUAAUUUCCAUUUAGAUAACUGUGGUAACAAGUAUAGAGAAACAGUUCAAAAGUUAAAAGAGUCCUUUUAUGUGGACAACUGUACAGCCAGUUUUGAUACAAUAACACAACGUGAUAACUUCAUUUCACAGUCGAGAGAAAUAAUGGCGAUGGCGAAAUUCGACCUACGUGGCUGGGUUACUGCUCCUGAAAGAAUGGAAGGAGCUGUGAAAGACACCCACGUGCUGGGAUUAACGUGGAAUACCGAAGAGGACACUUUAUGCUGUAACAUCAAUUCUAAUGAAAACUAUAAAGGAAAAAUCACAAAGAGAUAUUUACUGUCCGUGACACAGCAAAUUUUCGACCCUCUAGGAAUCGUCUGCCCGGCGACAGUUGUACCUAAGCGCCUACUCCAAAAAGUAUGGAAAAGAAAAUUCGACUGGGAUGAAGAAAUAUGUCCAGAGCUAGCACGUGAAUUCAAGAUAUGGCAAAGUACAAUACAUCUACUAAAGAAAUGCAAAAUACCUAGACGGUUAACAGCAGCACCAAUUAAGAAGUGUAAUAAUAGCAUCCACACUUUUUCAGAUGCAAGUGAAGACGCAUAUGCGGCCUGUGUAUACCUGCGGACUGAACAGGAAGGCAAGGUGCAUGUACAACUCAUAAUAGCUAAAAGCAGAAUCGCCCCAGCGAAUAAGAAGAUGUCUUUGCCACGGUUGGAGUUGAUGGGGGCUGUGAUAGCCUCGCGACUGUACAGAGAGGUCAUUGACAGUGGACUCAUGACACCAGAAACAAAUUAUAAUUCUUAUUUUUGGACAGAUUCGACCGUAGUGCUUGCAUGGGUAAAACAACAGCGUCAAUGGAAACCAUUUGUAAGCAAUAGAGUAAAAGAGAUAUCAAGAAACUCAGAUAUAGACUCAUGGAAUCAUAUAUCGGGGGAUUGUAAUCCUGCGGACCUGCCUUCUCGCGGUUGCAAUGCAAAUGCGCUGCUCGAGAAGCGUUGGUGGGAAGGACCGACGUGGUUGCGUAACAGGCAGGAUUGCUGGCCCAUAUCAAGUUCAAUACAGGCUAAACCAAAUGAAGAAAUUGUAAGAAAAGAAGAAAAAUCACAGUCUCACGUAAACAUGUCUGUUACUGAACCUCUGUUUAGUAAGAGGUUGUUGUAUUUUUCAAAAUACAACAAAAUAAUCAGAUUGGUAGCAUGGUUACUUCGUUGGAAUCCUAAGGUAAGGAGACAAUUUGCCGUAGCUAGCGACUUGUCUAACGACGAGUGUGUGUAUGCGGAAAAAACAUUAUUUAAAUUGUUACAGAAGGAGGAUUUCGCCGGGGGACAUUUACCAAACAACUUCAAGACACGACAAAGCAGCGACGGUGUACUUAGAGUCAAGACAAGACUGGAACUAAGUCACGAACACAAAGAUUUCGUAAACCCGAUACUGUUAUCUGGAAAAAACGAAAUCGUGAGACGGUUCGUACGACAGCGACACGAGAUUCUACAACACGCAGGGACACAGACUUUAAUGUCUAGCAUCAGAAAUGAAUUCUGGGUUUUAGGCAUAAGACGUCUCGCAAAAAGAGUUGUUUCAGAAUGUGUCAUCUGCAAGAAGUACAAAUGUAAACAUUACGAAGUUCCAGAGGCACCCCUGCCCACAGACAGAGUGGAAAGUGUGACGGCCUUCCAGACUACAGGCAUAGAUUUUGCGGGACCGUUGGUUCUACGAAAUCAGACGAAAUGUUGGAUCGCUCUAUUCACGUGUGCGACAUAUAGAGCAGUACACCUCGAACUAGUGGAGUCAUUGUCAACAAACAGCUUCAUAAUGGCACUACGAAGAUUCAUUGCUCGAAGAGGACGAAUACAAGUCAUAUACACGGACAAUGGAACAAAUUUUCAAGGUACUGCUAACUUGUUAAAUAAUGUGGAUUGGAAGGAAGUCGAAGUUACCACAGCCGUACUACCACAGCCGAUAAAAUGGAAGUUCAUCCCGCCCGCUUCUCCUUGGUGGGGAGGAUGGUGGGAACGUCUGGUGCGCGUCAUGAAGGAAAUGCUACGUCGGAUAUUGGGAAAAGCGUCAUUAUCAUGGAUAGAGCUGACCACCCUGCUAUGUGAAUGGACUAUCCACGGCAGAGACACCUGAUUUAGACGUAAUCGAUGCUCACAAUAUGAACAUCAGAUUGCGGUACCUGCAGACCCUGCGGACGGAGUUUCGACAGAGAUUUAGAAAUGAAUAUAUUUCGUUACUUAUUAGCAAGAACAAAGGUAACGACGGCAUAACAAGAGUCGCGAAAGUACAGACUGCGAUGGGAGAGAAGAUAAGAAGUUGUCAACGCCUCUACCCAUUAGAAUUGUCGGCAGUCACUGACGAGUGGCAUACACCUACUGUCCCUAAGCAAGGUG